rnacentral:lncRNA from 1 species
CCGGACUCUUCGUAAAGUAUAAAUACGGACGCAUAGGCGCUCUUCGGUCUUUCGGCGUAAGGUUUCUGCUGCUUUCUGGAUGUUUUUGAACUCACAUUCCAAAUGACGAUUUGUUUGAGGAGAGAAGAGGAACCACACUGGAAAUUGACUGAAUUACUGAUUUGUGCUCGUUUUAAUUAUUACAAUGGGGAAUGGCCAUGUGAGUGAGUAAGAUCUUGGAGGAAGACAACCCAGAAAGAUCAGAGGUCCUACGGUUAAAACUUGGAAACACCUCAAAGUAUAUCAUCCAGAAGAGGAACCCACAAUGGAGGCAGAGGUAAACUUGAAGAGGUAAGAGACUAAAUAUGUGAGUGCACUGGGGUGGGCACUACAUAGUAGGAGAAAUUCAAUUGGAAAACACUCAUCAAAAAUGUUGAUCUUCAUGUAGCGA